rnacentral:lncRNA from 10 species
GUAAAAGGUGGAUAUUAUUAUUACCACAAUCUGGAGACCCAGGAAGGAGGAUGGGAUGAACCUCCAAAUUUUGUGCAAAAUUCUAUGCAGCUUUCUCGGGAGGAGAUCCAGAGUUCUAUCUCUGGGGUGACUGCCGCAUAUAACCGAGAACAGCUGUGGCUGGCCAAUGAAGGCCUGAUCACCAGGCUGCAGGCUCGCUGCCGUGGAUACUUAGUUCGACAGGAAUUCCGAUCCAGGAUGAAUUUCCUGAAGAAACAAAUCCCUGCCAUCACCUGCAUUCAGGUAUUUCAGAACCUAUCACACAGACAGCAAGCGGGCAUCUAGAGCAGGGGUAAUAAACGGUCAGCUGU